CAGAUAAUGAAUUAAAGAAGCUUCAUGAUUCUCCUAUUGAUAUUUAUGAUCCUCUCUGGUAUGAGAAUACCAGCACUCCAUUGCAUGAAGCAUGUUGGAGAGGAUUAAAAGAUGAAGUACUACAAUUGAUUGACAAAACUGGCCUUCAGGAAAGAGAUCACAUCAAAACUUUCAGAAUUUUUAUCAACUUCCCA